GAUGAACGCUGGCGGCGUGCCUAAUACAUGCAAGUCGAGCGAACGGACGAGAAGCUUGCUUUUCUGAUGUUAGCGGCGGACGGGUGAGUAACACGUGGAUAACCUACCUAUAAGACUGGGAUAACUUCGGGAAACCGGAGCUAAUACCGGAUAAUAUUUUGAACCGCAUGGUUCAAAAGUGAAAGACGGUCUUGCUGUCACUUAUAGAUGGAUCCGCGCUGCAUUAGCUAGUUGGUAAGGUAACGGCUUACCAAGGCAACGAUGCAUAGCCGACCUGAGAGGGUAAUCGGCCACACUGGAACUGAGACACGGUCCAGACUCCUACGGGAGGCAGCAGUAGGGAAUCUUCCGCAAUGGGCGAAAGCCUGACGGAGCAACGCCGCGUGAGUGAUGAAGGUCUUCGGAUCGUAAAACUCUGUUAUUAGGGAAGAACAUAUGUGUAAGUAACUGUGCACAUCUUGACGGUACCUAAUCAGAAAGCCACGGCUAACUACGUG
rnacentral:rRNA from 1 species